rnacentral:rRNA from 1 species
CCCUUAGAUGUCCUGGGCUGCACGCGCGCUACACUGGAAGUUACGGAUUGAGAUACUACCUUGUCCGAAAUGGUCCGGGUAAUCACCUAAAAGCUUGUCAUAAUUGGAAUGGAUUAUUGUAACUAGUAAUCCUGAACGAGGAAUUCCUAGUAAGUCCCAGUCAACAGCUGGUACUGAUUACGUCCCUGCCCUUUGUACACACCGCCCGUCGCUACUACUGAUUGGACGUUUAAGCAAGAUUUUUAAACACUGACAGUGUGUAGUUCACGCUAUACUACAGUGAGAAGAAGGAGAUCGAGCUUACUUGUCUAGAGGAAGUAAAAGUCGUAACA